UAAUUAUAAAAGAGAAUUUCAAUUAUUAUAUUAAAAAAACUAAAAAGUCUUACAAACUAGCGGAGUACAUUAAAACACCAAAACAAUGUCACUUGGCUAAAUCUUCCAAAAUUGAAGUUGCACCAAAUAACUUAAGAGAACUAUUGGUUACUUCUAAAAAACUAGCAACAACAAAAACAUCCAUAUGACAUCCCUACCAAGCAAUAAACUGCAACGGCUCACAACCCACAACACAGUACAUGACAUUCCCACCGAGCAAUAAGCUGCAACAGCUUACACUGUUUACUUCUAAUCUCUCUUUUCAAUCUUCAUCGUUGUAUGGACUUUGAGAAUAUGUUUGGUCGGGGCACUAGAAGCAUCUGUAACCUAUAAAAAAUAAAAGAGAUCAAAUUACAAACUCAAUUUAAUUGAUGUUUUCAUGAUAUUCGAAAUAUGAACACGAAGAGUAAAAUAAAAUUAUGUACUUGAACAACCAUGAUUAGUUCUUCCUCCAAAGCAUAAAAACACUAUGAACAAAUUCUAAAACAGAAUCUGAACCAAACCAAAUUGGUUUUCAAUUAGGCAAAACUGAACCGAUUUUGGUUUAUCCUGAUUCGAACCAAACAAUUCUUUAACAAACCUCAACAAAAUCAAGUAGUCCAAAGAUUUAAGGAAUUAAUCCAACAUAAACUAAAAAUGAAUAAUCAAUAUUUAAGCAAAUCAAGUACCAUUUACCCAUGAAGUUGAGAAACUUUUGGAAUAAAGCUAAACAGUAGUAGAAGCAAUCAACUGUGAUGAUGACAAAGCACCAUGUGUCUAAAAAUCUAAUCCAUAAAUACAAUUAAGAUAAAAGUAACAACGGAAGCACAAGAAGAAAU
rnacentral:lncRNA from 1 species